rnacentral:piRNA from 1 species
UCAAGAUGUCAGUCUCCCACCUCAAGA